rnacentral:rRNA from 1 species
GACGAACGCUGGCGGCGUGCUUAACACAUGCAAGUCGAACGGAAAGGCCCUGCUUUUGUGGGGUGCUCGAGUGGCGAACGGGUGAGUAACACGUGAGUAACCUGCCCUUGACUUUGGGAUAACUUCAGGAAACUGGGGCUAAUACCGGAUAGGAGCUCCUGCUGCAUGGUGGGGGUUGGAAAGUUUCGGCGGUUGGGGAUGGACUCGCGGCUUAUCAGCUUGUUGGUGGGGUAGUGGCUUACCAAGGCUUUGACGGGUAGCCGGCCUGAGAGGGUGACCGGCCACAUUGGGACUGAGAUACGGCCCAGACUCCUACGGGAGGCAGCAGUGGGGAAUAUUGCACAAUGGGCGGAAGCCUGAUGCAGCAACGCCGCGUGCGGGAUGACGGCCUUCGGGUUGUAAACCGCUUUCGCCUGUGACGAAGCGUGAGUGACGGUAAUGGGUAAAGAAGCACCGGCUAACUACGUGCCAGCAGCCGCGGUGAUACGUAGGGUGCGAGCGUUGUCCGGAUUUAUUGGGCGUAAAGGGCUCGUAGGUGGUUGAUCGCGUCGGAAGUGUAAUCUUGGGGCUUAACCCUGAGCGUGCUUUCGAUACGGGUUGACUUGAGGAAGGUAGGGGAGAAUGGAAUUCCUGGUGGAGCGGUGGAAUGCGCAGAUAUCAGGAGGAACACCAGUGGCGAAGGCGGUUCUCUGGGCCUUUCCUGACGCUGAGGAGCGAAAGCGUGGGGAGCGAACAGGCUUAGAUACCCUGGUAGCCCACGCUGUAAACGGUGGGUACUAGGUGUGGGGUCCAUUCCACGGGUUCCGUGCCGUAGCUAACGCUUUAAGUACCCCGCCUGGGGAGUACGGCCGCAAGGCUGAAACUCAAAGGAAUUGACGGGGCCCCGCACAAGCGGCGGAGCAUGCGGAUUAAUUCGAUGCAACGCGUAGAACCUUACCUGGGUUUGACAUGGAUCGGGAGUGCUCAGAGAUGGGUGUGCCUCUUUUGGGGUCGGUUCACAGGUGGUGCAUGGCUGUCGUCAGCUCGUGUCGUGAGAUGUUGGGUUAAGUCCCGCAACGAGCGCAACCCUUGUUCACUGUUGCCAGCACGUUAUGGUGGGGACUCAGUGGAGACCGCCGGGGUCAACUCGGAGGAAGGUGGGGAUGACGUCAAGUCAUCAUGCCCCUUAUGUCCAGGGCUUCACGCAUGCUACAAUGGCUGGUACAGAGAGUGGCGAGCCUGUGAGGGUGAGCGAAUCUCGGAAAGCCGGUCUCAGUUCGGAUUGGGGUCUGCAACUCGACCUCAUGAAGUCGGAGUCGCUAGUAAUCGCAGAUCAGCAACGCUGCGGUGAAUACGUUCCCGGGGC